ACAUACGGCCACACCUGCGAGAAAACACGGGAUCCCGUCCGCUCUCCCCUAGUUAAACUUGCAAGGGGCAGAUUAGUAGUUGGG
rnacentral:rRNA from 1 species